UACGAAGGGGGCAAGCGUUGUUCGGAAUUACUGGGCGUAAAGGGCUCGUAGGCGGCCAACUAAGUCGGACGUGAAAUCCCUCAGCUUAACUGGGGAACUGCGUCUGAUACUGGAUGGCUUGGAUUUGGGAGAGGGAUGCGGAAUUCCAGGUGUAGCGGUGAAAUGCGUAGAUAUCUGGAGGAACACCGGUGGCGAAGGCGGCAUCCUGGACCAACAUUGACGCUGAGGAGCGAAAGCCAGGGGAGCAAACGGG
rnacentral:rRNA from 1 species